rnacentral:rRNA from 1 species
AAUCCUUGCCCUUGUACACACGGAUAACAUACCGAAAGUAUGCUAAUACGGGAUAACAUACUUUUAUCGCAUGGUAGAAGUAUCAAAGCUCCGGCGGUACAGGAUGGACCCGCGUCUGAUUAGCUAGUUGGUAAGGUAACGGCUUACCAAGGCGACGAUCAGUAUCCGACCUGAUAGGGUGAUCGGCCACAUUGGAACUGAGACACGGUCCAAACUCCUACGGGAGGCAGCAGUGGGGAAUAUUGCACAAUGGGCGAAAGCCUGAUGCAGCAACGCCGCGUGAGCGAUGAAGGCCUUCGGGUCGUAAAGCUCUGUCCUCAAGGAAGAUAAUGACGGUACUUGAGGAGGAAGCCCCGGCUAACUACGUGCCAGCAGCCGCGGUAAUACGUAGGGGGCUAGCGUUAUCCGGAAUUACUGGGCGUAAAGGGUGCGUAGGUGGUUUCUUAAGUCAGAAGUGAAAGGCUACGGCUCAACCGUAGUAAGCUUUUGAAACUAAGAGACUUGAGUGCAGGAGAGGAGAGUAGAAUUCCUAGUGUAGCGGUGAAAUGCGUAGAUAUUAGGAGGAAUACCAGUUGCGAAGGCGGCUCUCUGGACUGUAACUGACACUGAGGCACGAAAGCGUGGGGAGCAAACAGGAUUAGAUACCCUGGUAGUCCACGCCGUAAACGAUGAGUACUAGCUGUCGGGGGUUACCCCCCUCGGUGGCGCAGCUAACGCAUUAAGUACUCCGCCUGGGAAGUACGCUCGCAGA